rnacentral:rRNA from 1 species
AGAUCGAACUAUAGAGUUUGAUCCUGGCUCAGAUUGAACGCUGGCGGAAUGCUUUACACAUGCAAGUCGAACGGCAGCACGGACUUCGGUCUGGUGGCGAGUGGCGAACGGGUGAGUAAUAUAUCGGAACGUGCCCAGUCGUGGGGGAUAACGUAGUGAAAAUUACGCUAAUACC